AGAGUGGGCGGCCCUGUCAGCUGCAAACUGGAAGGGGAUGUUGCUGUUGGAGAAGGGGUGAAGAGAUUCUUCUUCUCAAAGGCAGUUUCUCUAGUACAGUCUGGUUUGCAUUUGAAUUUUGGGAACACAGAUCUUACAAGACUGUUUGACGGUGAGCCAGAACACUUGACUCCACC